GGGGGGGUCCCCAUCCCAUCCCUUUUUAUUUUAGGGGGUGCCCAUCCCAUUAUACUGGGGGGGGUCUCCGUGCCCCCUCCCCCUUCCUCCCCCCCCCCCCAAUUAAGCGUCAGUGCCCUUUGGGGACGUGGCCGUCCACGUAGAAGUUGCGGGUGACGCGCGGCAGAGUGAAGACAGCGCCCUCCAGCGGUGGGAGGAGCGUCAGCUGACAGCACAGCCGCGACUCCACGCGCAGCUGCGGCGCCGUGUCCAGGAGGUCCUCCUCCCUCUCGCAGGGGGGGGGCAGAUGCUCCAGGUGUGGGGCGCUGACGUAGACGUGGCACGUGGAGCACGCCAGGGACGCCUCGCACGCCCCCUCAAUGGGAACGCCGCACUC
rnacentral:lncRNA from 1 species